rnacentral:rRNA from 1 species
UACGGAGGAUCCAAGCGUUAUCCGGAUUUAUUGGGUUUAAAGGGCUCGUAGGCGGCCAACUAAGUCAGACGUGAAAUCCCUCGGCUUAACCGGGGAACUGCAUCUGAUACUGGAUGGCUUGAGUUCGGGAGAGGGAUGCGGAAUUCCAGGUGUAGCGGUGAAAUGCGUAGAUAUCUGGAGGAACACCGGUGGCGAAGGCGGCAUCCUGGACCGACACUGACGCUGAGGAGCGAAAGCCAGGGGAGCAAACGGG